GAUGAACGCUGGCGAGAUGCUUUACACAUGCAAGUCGUACGAGGGUUUUAAACUCAAGUGGCGGACGGGUGAGUAACACGUAAGAAUUUGCCUCUAGGAGGGGGACAACAGCUGGAAACGGCUGCUAAUACCCCAUAUGCUUUCGAGUGAAAUGAAAUUUUUCGCCUAGAGAGAAGCUUGCGGCUGAUUAGCUUGUUGGUAAGGUAAUGGCUUACCAAGGCGACGAUCAGUAUCUGGUCUGAGAGGACGAUCAGACACGCUGGAACUGAGACACGGUCCAGACUCCUACGGGAGGCAGCAGUGGGGAAUUUUCCGCAAUGGGCGAAAGCCUGACGGAGCAAUCUCGCGUGAGGGAUGACUGCCUAUGGGUUGUAAACCUCUUUUUUUCAGGGAGGAAUCAAUGACGUGUACCUGAAGAGUAAGCAUCGGCUAACUCCGUGCCAGCAGCCGCGGUAAGACGGAGGAUGCAAGUGUUAUCCGGAAUCACUGGGCGUAAAGCGUCUGUAGGUGGUUUACUAAGUCAACUGUUAAAUCUUGAAGCUCAACUUCAAAAUCGCAGUCGAAACUAGUAGACUAGAGUAUAGUAGGGGUAAAGGGAAUUUCCAGUGGAGCGGUGAAAUGCGUAGAGAUUGGAAAGAACACCGAUGGCGAAGGCACUUUACUGGGCUAUUACUGACACUCAAAGACGAAAGCUAGGGUAGCAAAUGGG
rnacentral:rRNA from 1 species